GGAGGUAGCGAGCUCGCAUUUUGCAGUUCGGUUGUUGCCAUUCUUACAUCCCUUGCAUACGGUUGCAGAAAAGCAAAACACGCACGCACACACAGAGGAGCUGACAAGGAUACUCUCAAGCCGCUGCUCUUCACAGGCUCCUUUUGUUUGUCGUUUUCUUAGAGAAAUUGCCUCGAAGGGUAACCUUCUACCAUGUCUGCACAAGACCGUGCCAGACCUCAGUCAGGCACCGCAGUCGAGGAGGAGCCGAAGAAACAGGCGCCGGAGUCUCUGUUUCAACGGUUUGUGCGCAAAUGGAUGGGUUUCAGUGACUACCUCUCCACCUCCUUCCUUGGUGGACCACGGUGCAUCAAGCUUGCUCACGUCAUCAAUUUUCAAAAAUGCACGACGCUUUUUGUCUGCAGUGCCAUGAUGUGGAGGUCUGGAAACUUCUCUGCAACUGCGACGACUUACACCGCCUUGCACGGCAGCUACGGGCUCUGCUGGUACCUGAAGCACCUGGUCUUCCCGGACCCACGGUGGGAUCUAAAGAUCACCAUCGGGAGCGCCAUUGCCGCCUUCGCGGCGGUGCUUGGCCCUUACUGGAUGAUUGCCUACAACGCCAUCAUGCAAGGCGCAGAGCGAUCGAACGUCGCUCUCUGUGCCGCGACAGUGGUGUACGCUGUCGGCCUCGCGAUCAUGAUGGGGGCGGAUGGGCAGAAAUACUUCGUGCUGCGAGAGCGUAAAGGCCUCAUUACAAACGGCUUCUUUGCCCGCACGCGAAACCCCAACUACCUUGGUGAGGUGAUGAUCUAUGGGUCCUUUGCCUUUGUUUCGGGUCGCACGAGCUCGUGGGUGAUCUUACUGACGAUCUGGACGGGUCUUUUUCUUCCAUCGAUGCUCGCCAAGGACAUCCGGAUGAGCCGUCACGCUGGCUGGAAGGCAUAUGUGCAAAAGACCGGGCUCUUUUUUCCCCGUAUUAAGUGAGAACCCUGAUGACGGGGGACACUUUAGGGUGUGGUAUCCAGGGUUCAGUACCCACUCUCUGCGGGGAAGCCAGGCAGCCCCUCCCCCUAUCCCUGUCAGUGCCGGACCACCCCUCGUGGUGCCAGGGUCAGGUACCUACGACGUAGCGAAGUCAGAGCGAUUUAUCGCUACGGGUGUCGGCGGUCAUGUCCUGGAUGGCGCUGCGUGGGGGAGGCCUGCAGCCGUGAACGUGUUUGUGCGAACCAUAUGAUGGGCAGUAUGCCGCCCUGACCCGAACGUAUCUCACCCGGCCCUCACCGCGCCCUGGCUCGGGGAGCCCGAGGCGCCCCGAGGGAUGCGCGACGUGGCGACCGGGCACAAGGCGAGCGGCCGUGAGGGGCGACCCUGCGGGGCGGGGAGGGCGGGUAGAGGGUCUGGGGCGGAGGCCGCGCUUCGCUGACUGGGUCGGCGCAUUUCUGCAGCGGCGCGUGUCUACGGCUGCUUGGCGCCACGCGGUGUGGGGGCCUGUGGCUGGGCCGGGUGGGAGGGAGGAAGGGGCGUUGUGCCCAUGCUGUAUGGCAGAGAAAUAGACGCGUUGUGAAAAAGGAGGCGACAUACGAGAAACGCGAGGAAGGAGCGCUUGCUCGGGUAAACAAGGGAAAGAAAGAGGAGAGCGCCAUUCCGCUGAGAACGCCACAAUGAGCUCCGUUCGUGUUCGCGCGUCGCCCUUCCUUUUCCUGAGUACUGCCAUCAAG
rnacentral:misc_RNA from 1 species